UAGAAGGUUACAGCUGCUGACACGGAA
rnacentral:misc_RNA from 1 species